UACGUAGGGGGCAAGCGUUGUCCGGAAUCAUUGGGCGUAAAGAGCGUGUAGGCGGCCCGGUAAGUCCGCUGUGAAAGUCCAGGGCUCAACCCUGGGAUGCCGGUGGAUACUGUCGGGCUCGAGUCCGGAAGAGGCGAGUGGAAUUCCUGGUGUAGCGGUGAAAUGCGCAGAUAUCAGGAGGAACACCAAUGGCGAGGCAGCUCGCUGGGACGUGACUGACGCUGAGACGCGAAGCGUGGGAGCAAACAGG
rnacentral:rRNA from 1 species